rnacentral:rRNA from 1 species
CCUACGGGCGGCAGCAGUGAGGAAUAUUGGUCAAUGGACGAGAGCCUGAACCAGCCAAGUAGCGUGAAGGAUGACUGCCCUAUGGGUUGUAAACUUCUUUUAUAAAGGAAUAAAACGAGGCACGUGUGCCUUUUUGCAUGUACUUUACGAACAAAGAUCGGCUAACUCCGUGCCAGCAGCCACGGUACUACGGAGGAUCGGAUCGUUAUCCGGAUUUAUUGGGUUUAAAGGGAGCGUAGAUGGGUUGUUAAGUCAGUUGUGAAAGUUUGCGGCGCAACCGUAGAAGUGCAGUUGAUACUGGCAGUCUUGAGUGCGGUUGAGGUAGGCGGAAUUCGUGGUGUAGCGGUGAAAUGCUUAGAUAUCACGAAGAACCCCGAUUGCGAAGGCAGCUUACUAGCCUGUGACUGACGUUGAUGCUCGAAAGUGUGGGUAUCAAACAGGAUUAGAUACCCGAGUAGUC